GAUGAAUAAAUAUGAUUAUAGAAUUCUUAUCUGCUGUUGUCUAUCCCUUCAAACUUCAGCAAUGUUCAGAAAGAAAUUGAGGCGGAGAAAUGGAAGUUUAACAAUAUAUUUUGUAAGGAAAUGUUCAGAAAUUGUUUUUGUUCUGUUUUUAACCACAUUCUAGGUAAUGAAUGCGUUAAUGUGAAAUGAAUCAUGUUAUCCAGGCCAACAUCUAUUACAUUUUGAUGUGAAAAAAUAACCUCUCUCCUUCAGAACCAAAGCUCUCUGUGUCUCCAUCAUGGUUGAUUCCUGGAGCUUCAGUCACUCUGAUCUGUCACACUGAGCCUCCGUCAGCAGGGUGGAGCUUCUACUGGUUCAAAGCUGUUCCAAACUCUCAGGAUUCCUACACCUAUGAGCCUCUACCUGGUACCAGCAGUGGGACAGCAAACAAUUCCUUCACAGUUCAUGGACAGACACACACAGCAGGAUAUGCAUGUUCAGCUGGACGAGGGGAUCCGCUGAUUUACACACAAUACAGUCGUCCCACAUUUGUCUGGUCUUCAGGUGUUCAUCCAUCAGCGUCUCUCACAGUGAAUCCUGACAGAGUCCAACACUUCACCUCUGAAUCUCUCUCACUGACAUGUGAAGGAAGCUCUUCCCAGUGGAGGCUGAUCCAGUUUCUGACUGACGACUCGCUGUUGAGCUUUCUUCCUCCAGCUACAAUCAAUGGAUCAACAUAUAUUAAGAAUGAGGCUCCAAGAAAAGCUGUGUACUGGUGUGAGUCUGGAACAGAGUUCAGCAACGCCGUCAAUAUCUCCACACACUCUGAUGGCGUUAUCCUGGUGAGCCCUGUGUAUCCUGUACCUGUGGGAGAGUCUGUAACUCUCCUCUGUGUCAUGAAGACUGGAAAUAUUUCCUCUGAUGUGUUUUUCUACAAAAACAACAAAUUCAUUGGAAAUGAGAGACGAGGAGAGAUGAAGAUCUCUGCAGUGUCAGAAUCAGAUGAAGGUUUCUACAAGUGUCAGUACAAUGGAAGAGAAUCAGCACAAAGCUGGAUGGCUGUGAAAGUGUCCAGAUCUGAGAGCUCUUCAUUCCAUGUCUGGUUGAUCUUUGGGCUGGUUUGUGGAGUUUUGCUUAUUUUCAUCCUCUGCCUGCUGUGGUGCUACAAUUGCAAAAAGAGGUCAUGCUGCAGCAGACGUAUUGAGUCUUUGUAUGUCAAUCAAAGCUCUGCGACAAACCAGCCAGUGGCCCAGAGUGAAAGUCAACUUUACUCCUCUCUCCUGCAUGGUGAUGUUUGUCUUUAUGAAUCCCUCAGACGCCCUGGAAACCCUGCAAACGGUGAACCAGCUCAGGAUUACAUCAACGUCACAUCCCACCAGCUUGAUGAUCUUCAUGAAUGAUGACGGAGGAAGGAAAAGCCAUAAAUCAGUGUCAGUGAUGCCAGUGGAGCCUCAUCUUCAGGACUGGAAACCACAGCAGAGUCCGAGAAUCAACAGGUUCUGAUUAAAACAGGAAAAGCGACUGAAACCAGAUCAAGCCUGGUGGUUGAAACAAGGAGCUGCUCCUCAUCCACAGAAUACACACUGUGUGAAGGACGGUGUGUGGAGGAAGAGGCUUCAUUCCACAUAUUUGACGUGAAAAUGUCUGGUUGAUUGAUAGAUUCUGUCGUUUCUUUCACAGUUUCACAUCAAUUAUCACAACACUUUGUUGUGAUUAUCAGAGGAUUUUAAUUUGAAAUCUACACAGGCCUUUUUUAUACGUUGUCUCCAACUGUUGUUCUGCUGAUUAUUAUUGUUUUAUCAUUUCUGUUUUGUCACUUUUUCACUUUGGAACAAUUUGAGGUUUUUAAAACUUUUUUUUUGUCUUUUAUACACGAAUAGUUACAGCUCACGAUCAGCCUGAUUCCAGCACAAGCACUGUCUAAACUGCAAUGAUGUUGCAUUGUAAUUAAUGCUCUUUUACUUCAAUUUUGACAUGAUAAAUACUUAGUCUGUGUAAGCUUAUCUUUAUUACUUCUUGUUUCAUAUUUCUUGAAUGUAGAGCUGCUGUGAUGACUGGAUUUCCCCCAAUGGGAUUAGUCUAAGGGUUAUUUUAUCUUCAUAGCCUGCUUGUGUUUAUGGAGACAAAGCGUGAAGAAUUCCAAUGAAAAUGUUUGAUUUAGAAACUUAUUUUAAUGGAAGCAGAGACUCUGGUAACUCCUGAUAACUGUGAAUCCUCCUCAUAGAGACUGAAACAAGGAAGGAGACAGUUUGAAGAAUGGAAGCAGGAGAAAGCACAAAUCUUUGUCUUCAACUCUAAAAGUGAAGAGUCAUCAAUAAGUUAAACAUUCCACUAAAGUAACUAAAAAUUCUCCUCUGACAGCACUUAGAGA